GAUGAACGCUGGCGGCGUGCCUAAUACAUGCAAGUCGAGCGAACGGACGAGAAGCUUGCUUCUCUGAUGUUAGCGGCGGACGGGUGAGUAACACGUGGAUAACCUACCUAUAAGACUGGGAUAACUUCGGGAAACCGGAGCUAAUACCGGAUAAUAUUUUGAACCGCAUGGUUCAAAAGUGAAAGACGGUCUUGCUGUCACUUAUAGAUGGAUCCGCGCUGCAUUAGCUAGUUGGUAAGGUAACGGCUUACCAAGGCAACGAUGCAUAGCCGACCUGAGAGGAUGAUCGGCCACACUGGAACUGAGACACGGUCCAGACUCCUACGGGAGGCAGCAGUAGGGAAUCUUGCGCAAUGGGCGAAAGCCUGACGGAGCAACACCGCGUGAGUGAUGAAGGUCUUCGGAUCGUAAAGCUCUGUUAUUGGGGAAGAACAUAUGUGUAAGAAACUGUGCACAUCUUGACGGUACCUAAUCAGAAAGCCACGGCUAACUACGUG
rnacentral:rRNA from 1 species